UCGGAUAUGGUGUAAUGGUUAACAUUACCGCCUCUCAUCAUUGAACGCGGUAGCUCGGGGUUCGAUUCCCCGUAUCCGAA
rnacentral:tRNA from 1 species